UGACCUGUGCCCACCCCGCGCAGGGAUGCUCGGGGAUCUCUCCACCUCCCUUCCCUAGGCAGGCUGUAUGUUUUUGGGUGCUCUGCACAGCCACGGCCGCACCGCUUGGGCUGCUCUCAGCACUCCCAAGUGAACCCCAUCCUGCCCUCAGCUAUGGGGCAGCUGGAGGUUACCCUGCCCUAGCCGUCCUGCUUCGAGGUGAGCAGCACAGGCUUCUUGCAGAAGCAGCGAGCUUCGCUGGCCUCCCCUCCUGAGCAAAACUCGCAUCUCUCUCAUGCACCUACUCCGUGGCAGUGCCCGUGUGCUAGUUAAAGCAAGAAGAGGCUUAAAAAUGAAUGAGUGCCCUGCUUGGAAGAGCAAGGGUGGCCGUGACUUCAAAGCAUCUGCAGAAGCGAGACCAAAAGCAACCACUCGGCACGGGCAGAGGGAGGGAGCGCAGGCAGAGCCCACGGGGGGCUGCACGGCUGCAAAGGGCACAUCAGGAAAAACCAUGUGGGGUCUUAAUGAAGGGGCUGAACCGGCUCAGGGCAGCAACAACUAUGGGCAAGUCAGGCUGGUGUAGCCAUCCCACCUGUGCUCCAGCCGCUCGCUGUGCCAAGCUGCAGCCCCAAGCUCUGCAGCAUGGUGCAGGGCCCCGGGGAGGAAAAAUCUUCCCCUUCCUGGUGCUGCAGGAUGCUCUCGGCAGGGCUCCAGCACUGGAGCUUUCAGCCCACAGAGCAAGGAAGCUGGGCAGCCGCUGGGCAUGCCGCGCCGGUGCUGCCAACCCGGCAGGUAGGGCCAGGCAGGCAGGGUGGCAGCCCCGGGCUCCACAGAUGCCUCCAUUGCCCUUAUUUUCAGCCACAGCACAGUGCUUACAGUGUCUUGUGGUCACAGAGUGCUCCUCGGGAGUCUCUCUCUGACCAAAGCCUUUUACAAAUAGCCAUCUUCCCCCUAAAACAAUAAAAAAGUACCAGAUGCUGCUGGUGGAAGCACCUGCUGCUCCAAAAAGCCCCAUUUCUUCAUAGUGCAAAACUUUGGCAGGAUGCGUGCCCAGACUGCAAUAAAUCUUUAAGCUUUCUCCAGCUCAAGGCAAAUUUCUUACCAUGCUUGCAGUUCAAUUCCUAAACUGGGGCACCAUCCCCUAAUGGAUUUUGUUCUGGGCUCACAAUAAGGGGAGCCUGGUGAUGCUCAAACCCAUAAUUCUACUCCCCACACCAUCCCCUCCUAACCACGGUUCCCAAUGCGAGACAUGCAGCUUUGGCUGGACCGGCCCCCAGCAGAGUAACGGAGCAAGCAUCAAACAGCACUUCCAUGAUCACAGCCAUCUUCCAGACUGCUGCUGAUAUUUCUCCCUCCCUAACCUCAUUCCUGGUAUUUAUGGUUCAGUGGCAAAGAAAUACAACCCACCACACAGCACAACCAGUUCUUCCUCCUACCCUGCCCUCCAGAAUCGCUGCACCAAGAGGAGGGACUUGAGCCAGGAGAUGAGGAGACCUCGUGUAGUCCUGGGCACCUGGGUCAGUCCCAGCAGGGGACUGAAGAUGACACAAUCAGACUGGCCAGAGCUUUCCAAAAGUCACCUUCAGGUCUGAUCAGCUAUUGCAAACCACCUUGGACAUGAUGUGGCCUCUUCCAGACCAGGUCUGGUCUCCCUGUGGCCUCUGCCAUGUGGAUGGUUGGCCAAGAUGGUAAUUUUUCUGCUUAGCAUCUACCAAAACAUGACCACGGGGAGAUCACAUAUGCUCUCCCUCCCCUGCUGACCAGCAAGAUACCCACCAGGCAGGCAGGGCAUUGCCAGCAGGCUAUGUGGCUCUCAACGUGCUUUUGGGGAAAGCAGCAAGAUGACACUCAAGCUCCUUGUCAUGAAGGGACAGGUGCUGCAAACAGGGGAGACCAGCAUGUGUGGCUCCUCCAUUUAGUUUGGACUCUUGAGCGACCGAUUCUGAAGCUUUGCUCUGGAAGAUGCUACUUGAGAUCGUCGAGGACCAGUAAACCCUCAUCACCCCAGGCUACAGAGCCACGCUCCUUGGCCGAGACGAGGGUGGGGGACAGCAAGAGAUGACAGCAGGACACGAUGGCAGACUUGUCCCAUAAGACUUCAAAGAAGAGCAGAGAAGCCCAAGCAGGAGAUCCAUUAAUGAUUUCCUUCUUCAUCGAUCUCCCAAGUCCAUCAGUCCCGCACAGACAUCACUGCUGCGGGUGCAGGAGCUGUCGGUGCCCAGCCAGGCUCUGCCACGCAGGCGCCAGGCGUGUGCCAGGAGCACCGGGUAGGACACUGGGGACCUUAGAGAGCAGGAGCCCUCCCCAAAGUGGUCAGGAGCUGAGAUGCUGGAGGAUUUGUCUGAAUUGCAGCUCCUCCAGGUAAACUUGAGCUGGUGCUGCUGGCAGGAAGGCGGAGAGUGUGCCCUUCAGAGAGACGGGAUGAUUAGGAUGCAGGUAGUGGGGGGUCAGCAUGCUGGGGACACAGGGGGGUCCCACCCUGCCCCUUGAAUGAGCAGACGUGAGCAUGGCAUCAGGCGCAAGAGGCAGAAGGAAACAGUAGCUUGCUCCUACAAAAAAACCUGCAUGUGUCCUGCUUAAUUUAAGCUAAUUAAUCCCUGCUGGACCCCCUUUUCAGGCUUCAAAUACACAGAUUUUUUUUUUUUUUUUUAAUUUUAAAGCUGAAAGGAAGGCAUGCAAAGAGUGCAGUGAAAGCACAGGCAGAGGGUUCAGUCCUCCGUCUCCAGGAAAGACCAGCACGCUUGGGGGGAUGGAUAGGAAAGGGGGGAUACACUUUAUAGAAGGGGAAUUGAGGCCUAUCACUUAAGUUAAACAGUGUACUGAAGGACAUAAAUAGCUUUUCUUCAUUUUGUACUCUCAAAGCUAUGCAAAACGGUGGAGAAGUCUGAAGGCAACCCAGAGUUAAACACAUUUGAUACAAGAUCUUUUUUUAAACCUGGCCAGCAGAUUAUGCAACACUGAAGUGGGAGACAGCUGAUGGUCUGCAAAGAUAACUCCACCGAGAAAAAACAGUGGAUGAUCUUCCAAAUCUGCUGCAAGGUAGCAGAGAAGGGAAAUCAGACCCAGGGUUUGGAGCCUGCAGCAAUCUGUGCUGGCGACAGCAAAGGCGACGGCGCUGCCUUGCAACCCAGGCUGUCGCAGAGGAUGCUGGCAGCACACUCGCCCCUGGAGGCACAAGUGCAGACAGAGAUGGCCAUCACUCGAAUUCCCCAGGAGCAUAAAAUCAGGACUGUUUUGCAACUGUUUGCAGCCGCGAUGCUUGCUAUUGCUGGCAGGAGGGAGCCCUGGGUGCCAGGACUGCAAAAACAACAGCAGGAGGAGAAGCAGGGGGGUGUCCUUUAGCAAGUGCCAGGCUCACCCUCCAGCCUGGCAUGCCAAGCAAAAAUCCUGGGCUCCUCAUUAAAUUAAUCCUAAAUCUGAAAACCUACCCAGGGCAAGAAAUCUACAGCUCAGCCAGCGCUCAUGCUCUGGGAGACUGAAGGCAGAUGAAGCUGCAGAGGCCACUGCAGUCCCUUUCCCCAGCUGCCUUCUGCCCAAAAAGGAGCAUUUCCAGGCCAUGGUCCCAGCCCAAAAGUGCCAGCAGAGCACAGAGGCGAGAUUUCAGACCAACACAGCUCUGCUGGCAAAAGCCCUGGCUCAGGCACAGCUAGAUACUGGCCAAACCACUUUUAUUAGGAGGAACUAGUUCCCAGGUCAGUUCGUUAAGAUGCUGGAGCUGGAUUCAGAGGAGGAGGUUUGGAAAGACAUCCCACCACCCUGGCACAGCCAGAUGCAUCCCUGUUCCAUCCCUGGCGGGGUCUUGGAGUCAAAGCAUGACCUACAAGAGCAAUGAGCGCUGAUGACUGUCACCACGGCUCUGCAAGGAUGUUCUGGCUCCUUCUCUGCCUGCAAGACAUCCAUUUGCUAUGUCUUUUACCAUAGCUACUCCAAACCUGCUGAGCCCUGGGUGAAGAGGCAGCCCAGGAGAGACAUCUCUGACAAAAGCCACUGCUACUGCAGAGCCAAAAAUCCCCCUCGCCACCACAACACACCGGCAGAGAGAGAAGCAGGACAACAUGAGCGACGCAGGAGCAUCGGCGCAGCCGCGCUCGGGAAGGCCAGUCAUGCUGCAAAACCCAGAGAAACUCAGAGCGUGUCUCAGCUCCUUCCUCCUCACGCACUGAGCCGCACUCAGCAGUGGCUUGCAGCUGCUGGCAGCACACACGGCACCGCUGGCGCUCUCAGAAAGGCAUUUUGCACUCUUUUCCUCUCUCUAGAUCAUCAGGACAGCAACAAGGACCUUUUUUAGCAAGUGAAGAACAAAACGCUGACACUGCCUGCAGGAAACGCGGGGGUUAGGAAGCACCUUCCUGGCCUGAGAGCCCCAGGAAUCUCUCCGAGAUGCAGAUGGAGUGCAUCGCUUAUGAACUCCUGACUCCAGAGACGCAGCCAAGAGGCAGCGUCAGUUUGCUGGCACAGGCUCUCCCUGCACGCAGCUCGCACAAACAUUUCCCUUGGGGAUGCAAACAGAAGAUGCCUGAUUGCACACUGGGAACACAAAGAGUUUUAUAGAUCAAGUGGUCAAAGCAGCAAGGUCAGCUGAGUCCCUUUCUUCAGCAGGAUUAAAGAAUUCAGGGCUCAGGCAGGAGAGAUUGCAAUCGCUGUCUGACAGCAGGAAGGAUGCAGGGAGGCAAAAUGCACAUGUUUGGGAGGAGGAAGGAAAGUGGGAAGAAGACCAGCUGCUGCAAACCGGGAGAAAGGCUGGGACCAGCCUUGCCCUGCAAGGGGAAGCUGCUGUCACAGCAAGGAUGGAGACAACGUCCCCGCCUGCACUGAGAAGCUGGGGACAAGUCACUGCGCCUACACCACCACAGGGUGAAGCUGGCCCUGAACCAAGAAUGAAUUAGAGAGAUGAGGAAAACAGCUUUAACAAGCAGGCAGUCCUCAUUACCAGCCCUAGUUCACCCAAGCCCUGUGGAAGAUGUAGACACAUCCUUCUCCGGCAUGAAAGACUUGCCCGCAAACGCAGCGCAGCCCCAGCUCACCGACGGUGGACGCAGCAGCCCCAGGGAGCACCAAUGCCUGGAAUGUCGGACCCUGCACCGCAGAAGGGAGGGCUGCAUUGGAAAGCCCCCACCCCAGCCCUGCAAAGGGGAGGACCAUCUCACCCACUGCGCACCCACACGUUCACAGUAUUGCUGCCUGUACCUCUGUCCUCCAGGCUGACUCGAGUUCCUUGGCUUUACUCCUGAGAUAGGGAUCUCCUACAGCCAAAACACAUCCUGGGUGAGAGCACACCCCACCCAUUAAAUGCUUGCAAACAGCUGUGGGGAUUUUAUAUUGCUUCUUUGCCAGCACCUGCAGACACUCAUUGCUUCCCUCCUCCUCUCCAAUAGGCUGUGGAGAGGACUUUUGCUCAACCCACCCCAGCAUGGUGGGGUCCCACCCUCUCCUUCCCAAGA